UAGAUAAUUUUUUAAACUGCAGGAAUCAUAGCAGGUGGCAUCUACUCUCAUCUUGUGCAUGUGUACUUUAUUUAUAAUUGCACUUCAGCUUUGGGUUUCAGCUUGUUUAAAACUCACCAUUUAAGCCCACAAAAACCUCUCUAAAACCAGUUUUAGCCAAAUUAGCACGUGUAAAACUGGUGAAAACUAAGAAGCUCUGGUAUAAACUUACAUUUAAAUUGUCAUGUACUCACUGUGUACCCCUUAUUUUAACCAUCUAUAAAUGUUUGGUAAUUGCAGACUUGUUUGUUUACAGACUGUUUAUAAUGGGAAAACAUAAGGUUGGCAGCUAGAGAGAAUAUGUGUCACAGGAAGGAGGUAAACUGGCACAUUAUUAGUAUUUUGGAAACUGAUUUACAACACUUGCUUUACAAUGUUUUAUUCAGCCAUUUUAUAGAACUAAUGUAAUCAUGUCAUAAUUACUCUCAUUUCACGAUGAUUUAUAAGAAAUCACCAACUGUACAAUCAAUACAAUAAAAACAAACUGCCUACGCUGGCAAGAAGACAGUGUUUUUGAAGCAACACAAAGGCUUAAGGAGCCAAAAUGAGUUACACUGUGGACAAAAAGGGUAUGUAAGCAGUAGUGAUGUCAGUCUGACACCAAAGCUCCGAUCCUUGCUUCAAACUCGAAGUUGCGUUCUCUUUGAUCCACUGCUUUAAAGCUUGCUUUGCCGCAGAGCAAAUGACGUAAGCGAGAACGUAUGAAGCAUACAUUAGCUUCAUUUCCGUGA